AGAGCCUUCCCGCGGGGGCGUGGGCUCAGCCCGGCGCUGGGGGCUGCUACGGUGGUUCGGGUCGGAGACCCCUGAGAUCUUAAAGAUUUGUCCUGUGGGGAUUAGGUAGACUGUUCCAGAGACAAGGAAACAGUCACUGGGGAGAGAGAAAGUGGAUUGUCAGGUUCAGGGACCUGCAGAACGGCCCGUGUGACUAGAGAGUGAGUGGUAGGAGAAAAGCACUCCAUAGAGCAAAUGGAGAUGAUUUUUCUGCUUAAGUACCACCUAAGCUAUCUCUAGAAAGACCCAGAAGAGCGACUUUUGUCUCUAUUUUUGGGAUGCCUACAUGUCCACAAAACCCAGCAGGUUUCAAAUUCCACCAAAUCCAGCAUCCUUGCAUAAUGGGCACCAGUGCCACCACGUAGAUUGGGGAAAAUGGAGUUGAUUGCUGGUCUAAAGACUUUUCAACCCAAACACUGGUCUCUUGGGACUUUGUGUGCAGCAGAGGUAUCUCAUCACUCACCUGAGUAAACAGCUGGGAUCUUUCUAUUCGGAGAUGAGCCACCAUGCUCCUUACGGUGGAGAGUCCUUGGAGACCCGGAAGAUCAUAGAUGGCCCCCAGGAGGGCUCUGUGCUGGCAGUCUAAAGACAGAAAUAGCCAUACGGUGGCUGUUAAAGGGAUGAGACUGUGGCGUGCUUUCUUGUGAUAGAUGGUAGGACUCAGCUCGGAAGAGGCUGACUCCAGAUGGGACUUCAGGGAAAACGGGCAGAAACCGUGCCAUUACUCUGCACUUGAAGGAGCAUCUUUGCCCUGACAGGAUAAUGAACAUACUUCCUCUCUCCGUCAGGUUUACUGCGUGGGCCGAGAGAGCGGUAGUAGCUAUGUUGCAUAUUUGUGCCUGGGAUUCUUAGGGUGGGAGAAGACAAAAGUCAAAUCCAGAGGUAAGCUUACACCCAGGGAUCAAAUGGCAAUUUGUCUGGUAGGUUGGUUCUCUCGGAACUGUCUCCAAGAUGAAAAGUUAUUGAUCGGUGGUGUGUAGGACAUUUAUUAGGGAGCUCUUUUAGGACCAAUUCCUGUGGGGAAAAGGAAGGAAGUGGAAUUAAUCCGAAGUCAGCUGCAGACCCAGGAGGUUUUGACAGACUGAUAGAGAGCUCUCAAGCUAGGGUGGGUGUUUUGAGUUCUGUCAGGACAAAGGGACUAAGUCUUCUAGUACUGACUAGGUAUUAGGUGCUAGCUACCCCAGGAAGUGGGCAUUGUCUUGGGGGAAAGCAGCGUAUUCAGCCAAGGCUGGUUCAUCAAGAAGACGACAGCAGAGGGCUGGGAGAUGGCUGGGAGAUGGCUCGGUCAGUAAGGUGCUUGCUGUACAAGCAGGAGGUCUUGCUUGGAACCCACAUGAGCCCAGACACAGUGCCUAUGACCCCCCCUGCUGGGGAAAUAGAGACAGGAGGAUCCCUGUAGCCUGCUGACCAGAUAGAUAGUCUACACAAGUAAGGAAAUGUGUGCCUACACACAAAUGCCCUUAAAAGACUUCUAUCAGAUCAUUCAACCUAUACCCCUCCCCAUAGCUGGGGACCAGUCCCUCUGCCCUGAGGGAGCACCUGUAUUACAAAGUGCAUCUUGUAGUUUAUUCUGUAACUUGGUUGUCAAGAAGUGUGUAACCUGGUCAUCAUAAAGUGUUUUGGGUUUUGGGUAUGAGGUUUCCUCAGUGUAGCAUUGACUGUCAUGAAACUUGCUCUGUAGACCAGGCUGGGCUUGAGCUCAGAGACCCACCUGCCUCUGCCUCUUGAGUGUUGGGGUCAUUUAAAGGCGAGUGCCACCACCCUGGCCUUUUGACAGGAUCUUAGGUAGACCAGGCUGGUAUGCAAUUUAUACCCUGCCUCUGUCUUCCAAGAGCUGGGAUGGCAGGUAUGUGGUACCAUGUCUGCCUAGUAAAUUUUCAAUUCCUCGACAUCUUCUAAUAAAGUUGACUACAGGAAAAAGAACCACGUUGGUCCAGUGAUUUGAAUUCCCUUCAUAUCACCCAUUCUUGGGACAGGCUUACCUGGAUUUGAUGAAACACUCCUACUGUAAUGAGAUGCAAGCCAGAGAGAUGGCUCAGUAGAAAUGUGCUUGCUUAUGGGUCCUGAGGACCUGAGUUCAAUGCUUAGGAUCAGCAUGGUCGAAGGAAAGAACCAACUCCUCUGACCUCUACAUCCUGACCAGGGCACAUGCAUGCUCAUCUACACAUGUCCAUGUAUACACACAUAAAUGUAAUAAAUCCUUUUAUGAAAU
ensembl:lincRNA 9030407P20Rik RIKEN cDNA 9030407P20 gene